rnacentral:rRNA from 1 species
ACGAACGCUGGCGGCGUGCCUAAUACAUGCAAGUCGAACGCUUCUUUUUCCACCGGAGCUUGCUCCACCGGAAAAAGAGGAGUGGCGAACGGGUGAGUAACACGUGGGUAACCUGCCCAUCAGAAGGGGAUAACACUUGGAAACAGGUGCUAAUACCGUAUAACAAUCGAAACCGCAUGGUUUUGAUUUGAAAGGCGCUUUCGGGUGUCGCUGAUGGAUGGACCCGCGGUGCAUUAGCUAGUUGGUGAGGUAACGGCUCACCAAGGCGACGAUGCAUAGCCGACCUGAGAGGGUGAUCGGCCACAUUGGGACUGAGACACGGCCCAAACUCCUACGGGAGGCAGCAGUAGGGAAUCUUCGGCAAUGGACGAAAGUCUGACCGAGCAACGCCGCGUGAGUGAAGAAGGUUUUCGGAUCGUAAAACUCUGUUGUUAGAGAAGAACAAGGAUGAGAGUAACUGUUCAUCCCUUGACGGUAUCUAACCAGAAAGCCACGGCUAACUACGUGCCAGCAGCCGCGGUAAUACGUAGGUGGCAAGCGUUGUCCGGAUUUAUUGGGCGUAAAGCGAGCGCAGGCGGUUUCUUAAGUCUGAUGUGAAAGCCCCCGGCUCAACCGGGGAGGGUCAUUGGAAACUGGGAGACUUGAGUGCAGAAGAGGAGAGUGGAAUUCCAUGUGUAGCGGUGAAAUGCGUAGAUAUAUGGAGGAACACCAGUGGCGAAGGCGGCUCUCUGGUCUGUAACUGACGCUGAGGCUCGAAAGCGUGGGGAGCAAACAGGAUUAGAUACCCUGGUAGUCCACGCCGUAAACGAUGAGUGCUAAGUGUUGGAGGGUUUCCGCCCUUCAGUGCUGCAGCUAACGCAUUAAGCACUCCGCCUGGGGAGUACGACCGCAAGGUUGAAACUCAAAGGAAUUGACGGGGGCCCGCACAAGCGGUGGAGCAUGUGGUUUAAUUCGAAGCAACGCGAAGAACCUUACCAGGUCUUGACAUCCCGAUGACCGGCCCGUAACGGGGCCUUCUCUUCGGAGCAUUGGAGACAGGUGGUGCAUGGUUGUCGUCAGCUCGUGUCGUGAGAUGUUGGGUUAAGUCCCGCAACGAGCGCAACCCUUAUUGUUAGUUGCCAUCAUUUAGUUGGGCACUCUAGCAAGACUGCCGGUGACAAACCGGAGGAAGGUGGGGAUGACGUCAAAUCAUCAUGCCCCUUAUGACCUGGGCUACACACGUGCUACAAUGGGAAGUACAACGAGUCGCAAAGUCGCGAGGCUAAGCUAAUCUCUUAAAGCUUCUCUCAGUUCGGAUUGUAGGCUGCAACUCGCCUACAUGAAGCCGGAAUCGCUAGUAAUCGCGGAUCAGCACGCCGCGGUGAAUACGUUCCCGGGCCUUGUACACACCGCCCGUCACACCACGAGAGUUUGUAACACCCGAAGUCGGUGAGGUAACCUUUUGGAGCCAGCCGCCUAAGGUGGGAUAGAUGAUUGGGGUG